rnacentral:rRNA from 1 species
UCCAGACUCCUACGGGAGGCAGCAGUGGGGAAUAUUGCACAAUGGGGGGAACCCUGAUGCAGCGACGCCGCGUGGGCGAAGGAGUACUUCGGUACGUAAAGCCCUAUCAGCAGGAAAGAAAAUGACGGUACCUGACUAAGAAGCCCCGGCUAACUACGUGCCAGCAGCCGCGGUAAUACGUAGGGGGCAAGCGUUAUCCGGAUUUACUGGGUGUAAAGGGAGCGUAGACGGCAGUGCAAGUCCGGAGUGAAAGCCCGGGGCUCAACCCUGGGACUGCUCUGGAAACUGUGUUGCUGGAGUGCAGGAGGGGUAAGCGGAAUUCCUAGUGUAGCGGUGAAAUGCGUAGAUAUUAGGAGGAACACCGGUGGCGAAGGCGGCUUACUGGACUGUAACUGACGUUGAGGCUCGAAGGCGUGGGGAGCAAACAGGAUUAGAUACCCGGGUAGC